UAAAAGUGAUGCAGCAUUUUCUGAAGGUACCCAGUUUAGGUGAUACCUUUUGGUGUGGUUAGGUUUUCCCUCUAAUCCAUCAGACUGGAAAUAGAUCAUCUGAGGAAUGAGGCUAUAAGAGUUCUAAUUAACAGUUGUUAGAAGAUGGUGAAAGUCCUCCCAGAGAUACAAAGGGAGCUGAUAGCAGAUAACUAAAGGUUAAAAAGUAUAAUCAAUGCCAUACCAAGGAAAGCUGCACAGGUGAAACUCUGCCUCCCUCUCAAAAGGAUACAAUUCUUUUCUUUAUAUGAAGUACAGUAUCCCAUGGAAAAACAGGUGAAAAUGUUGUCCUCUG